rnacentral:lncRNA from 1 species
CGCGGGCGCGCAGGCGCCGGCGCCUUGAUCUUUUCCAGGCUGGAGGCCGUGCCGCUGGAGCUGCUGUUCAGGGUGUCCGUCUUGGAGCUGUCGGUCAUCUCAUCCUCCAGCUGCAGGUCUGAGGUCAGGGUAUCAAUCUGGUCGACAACCUGGUGGGAAGGACAAGAAGCUGGAAAAGGCUGAGUUCUGAGACUGGCUGGGGUCUUCCGCACAGCAGAAACUCAAGAGGUCUGCCCGUUAUAUGUCUCACCACCCCAUCCAAGGAGCUGGGAAAGAUCAACGAAUUUUGGAAAAGAUGGCCACAUUUGUGUUUGUGUGGGAAAGAUGGCUUCACUCAUGUUGUCACCCAAAAGAACCAAACUUCAAAUGAAAGUGUUUCAUGUGCAAGACCACAUACCAGUAAACCAACCAGAAGGCUACAGGGGCCCAGAUGUGGAGACGGAACUACUACCCCUAUGGACUGCUUGUUAUCGUCCAUCUGGUUAGCACGGUAUGAAAACAAAGGAAUGAAGCUGAUUAUGGUCUAAUUACUCCUGAAAGCUCCAACAGCAGUGGCAAGAUAAGGGUGCUAUUUAGCCUUGUUUACAGCUCUCUGUAAGCCAGAAAGUGGCCCCCAACCAGUCACAGAAUGGGGCAGCACCUUUAUUUGGGUCCUUUUUGCUCGAGAGCUGUGGGAUACAUUUGUGUCAUUUAAGUCACCCAGUUUAAGGCACGCUGUCACUUAGGCCCAAAACAGGCUUUUUUUAAACCAACUUAUUUUUAACCAUAGUCAAUCUUUUUCAAAUAAAUCUUAUGUAACACCUCUAAUAUGAAAGAGCUUUUCAGAAUAUUAAUGCUUUGGAGGACAGAAAUUGUUUUGCCUGAAGGAGUCAACUCUACUAUCCCACAAAAAAGAUAUCACAUGUGACUGCUGAAUUUGUUAUCAAAUAAAAAAAAG